rfam:Ricinus communis cultivar Hale ctg_1100012361640, whole genome shotgun sequence.
GAAAGCCGUAUGCUUUGGAAGAAGCUUGUACAGUUUGGGAAGAGAUUUUGAUUGAUCAAAUAGAAGAAUCUAUUUCAAC